GGAAGCUGGCUGAUCACAUUCAAUGGA
rnacentral:piRNA from 1 species